GUCUGGGUGGCUUAGUUGGUUAAGCAUCUGACUUCAGCUCAGGUCAUGAUCUCAGUUCAUGGGUUUGAGUCCCAUGUCAGGCU
rnacentral:tRNA from 1 species